UCCUGGUUAACCCAGGCAGUCUCGUUAGAGUCCCCAUCCGUAAUGCUGGCAACUAACGAUAAGGGUUGCGCUCGUUGCGGGACUUAACCCAACACCUCACGGCACGAGCUGACGACAGCCAUGCAGCACCUGUGCAAAGGUCUCUUGCGAGACGAUUACAUUUCUGCAAUCUUCCUAAGCAUGUCAAGUCUGGGUAAGGUUCUUCGCGUUGCAUCGAAUUAAACCACAUGCUCCACUGCUUGUGCGGGCCCCCGUCAAUUCUUUUGAGUUUCGGCCUUGCGACUGUACUCCCCAGGCGGCAUACUUAACGCGUUCGCUACGACACAACUGGGGUUGAAUUCCAGCUACGUCUAGUAUGCAUCGUUUACAGCAAGGACUAC
rnacentral:misc_RNA from 1 species